rnacentral:rRNA from 1 species
GACGAACGCUGGCGGCGUGCUUAACACAUGCAAUUCUAACGGAAAGGCCCUGCUUUUGUGGGGUGCUCGAGUGGCGAACGGGUGAGUAACACGUGAGAAACCUGCCCUUGACUUUGGGAUAACUUCACGAAACUGGGGCUAAUACCGGAUAGGAACUCCUUCUGCAUGGUGGGGGUUGGAAAGUUUCGGCGGUUGGGGAUGUACUCGCGGCUUAUCAUCUUUUUGGUGGGGUAGUGGCUUACCAAGGCUUUGACGGGUAGCCGGCCUGAGAGGGUGACCGGCCACAUUGGGCCUGAGAUACGGCCCAGACUCCUAAGGGAGGCAGCAGUGGGGAAUAUUGCACAAUGGGCGGAAGCCUGAUGCAGAAACGCCGCGUGCGGGAUAACGGCCUUCGGGUUGUAAACCGCUAUCGCCUGUGACGAAGCGUGAGUGACGGUAAUGGGUAAAGAAGCACCGGCUAACUCCGUG